GUGAACGCUGGCGGUAGGCCUAACACAUGCAAGUCGAACGGCAGCACCGUAAGAGCUUGCUCUUACGGGUGGCGAGUGGCGGACGGGUGAGGAAUACAUCGGAAUCUACUUUUUCGUGGGGGAUAACGUAGGGAAACUUACGCUAAUACCGCAUACGACCUACGGGUGAAAGCAGGGGAUCUUCGGACCUUGCGCGAUUGAAUGAGCCGAUGUCGGAUUAGCUAGUUGGCGGGGUAAAGGCCCACCAAGGCGACGAUCCGUAGCUGGUCUGAGAGGAUGAUCAGCCACACUGGAACUGGGACACGGUCCAGACUCCUACGGGAGGCAGCAGUGGGGAAUAUUGGACAAUGGGCGCAAGCCUGAUCCAGCCAUACCGCGUGGGUGAAGAAGGCCUUCGGGUUGUAAAGCCCUUUUGUUGGGAAAGAAAAGCAGCAGGUUAAUACCCCGCUGUUCUGACGGUACCCAAAGAAUAAGCACCGGCUAACUUCGUG
rnacentral:rRNA from 1 species